AUGCGGCGGUGUCGGGGCGCGGGGCUGGCGGCGCUGCCCGCGCUGCUGCUGCUCGUGGCUGUGGCCAGAGCCCAGAUAGAGCAAGAGCCGUCACUGGAGACGAUCGAGGGAAUCGGAAUCAACAUCAACUGCUCACAUCCCAAAAUCCAGACCAACGAAUACAUCUACUGGUACCGACAGCUCCCGGACAAAGGAUCCGAAUUCCUUGUGUUCACAGUGAAAGACUCCAAAAAGCUGCCGGACAAUCUGGGCCAGCUGUGGGUGUCGGCAGACCGGCGCUGGAGCGCGCUGCGGCUCGGCUGGCCCCGGCGCGGGGACGCGGCCGUGUAUUACUGCGCGCUGGGCCACGGGCAGAGGAGCCGGGGCUGCGGCCGGGCACGAACCGGCGCGGGCGGGGCCGGGCGGGGCCAGCAGGGG